rnacentral:rRNA from 1 species
UACGAAGGGGGCUAGCGUUGCUCGGAAUCACUGGGCGUAAAGCGCACGUAGGCGGAUUGUUAAGUCAGGGGUGAAAUCCUGGAGCUCAACUCCAGAACUGCCUUUGAUACUGGCGAUCUCGAGUCCGGGAGAGGUGAGUGGAACUGCGAGUGUAGAGGUGAAAUUCGUAGAUAUUCGCAAGAACACCAGUGGCGAAGGCGGCUCACUGGCCCGGUACUGACGCUGAGACGCGAAAGCUAGGGGAGCGAACAGG